GCAUGACAUGAUGGCAUACCAUCUUUCGGGACUGACUCACUUUGGAGACACCCUUUUUUUCUGCUGAUCAUGC